CUUUAACCAUUUCACUCCUAAAGACCUCUUUCCCAAAGCAGCGCAUAUAUGGUGCCUAUACUUAACGUGGUUUGUUUUUUUCCUCCCGCUUUGCAGAGCUGUUCGCUACACUCCCCCGAUUCAUUUAAGCCUGCGCAGCCUGUAAGGUCCAUCUUACUGGUCAAAUAGAAAACUACUUUUGUGGGGCGGGGUUGAUUCUAAAAGCAGCCCCAUUUAUCCCCCUGCAGCUCAGAACUUCUUGAGGCUCUUCUAUAGGUAGCACUGGAGGUAUUACCGAAACCACUAACCUGAGAAAGAGGAAGAAAAAGUUGUCCCCUGCUUUUUGGAGUUUACAUAACUCAGUCUACUAGAGCUUGAAAAUGGUCUGGUUCCAGCCACGUGGUUCUGACUUCUGUAAUGAAGAUACCAAAACCGUGCUUGGUUAAUGAAAGAACGAAGACACAUCGGAAAGGGAGCUGUGUGGCGUCAGGAUGAAGGGUGGACCUGGCUUUCUCUCACUUGGCCGUGUCUAGCUGGAAGUCGGAAGGACAGAGGCAGAGCAAGCCCUGGACUCUGGAGAGAUGGAGGCCAACUGCCCAUCACAGAAUUCAAUUUCCACUGAAAUUAGCCUUCCAAGGAAGCCACUCACAGUGCUGAGGAUGACUUCUGCACCGUAUAUGGAAGCAAACAUUCUGAAACUAGAAAACCAAAACUACUGCCAGUUUCCCUCACCGUCCUUUGAAUACGGAAAGCACUGCAAUCCUGGGACGCCAUGAAACUGCCUUCCCAGGAGUCCACCCUGCCACAGAACACAGAUAGUGUUGUCCUCUGGGGGAGAAGAAGCCAUUUAAAUUCAGGGAACAGAUUCUCAGCACUAGCAAGCUAUUUUUAGCUAAAACUGUCGUUUCAUUUGGAAACUGAGCAGUGAAGGUCUUCCGUCUCCUUUUUGGAUUGACUUUUUAGAUGGUCAUAGAUAGUUCUGCACGUGGAAAAGGCAGUCUCCAAAAGGAGCACUUGGAACAUUUCGAAGAAUAUAUAAUUCAAAAGCUGGUCAAAGCAAAGACCUAGCCAAGGCUUUGGAAGUUUUGUUUAUCUUCAGACUGGUGUUUUUAAAUUCGUGGUGCGUGACCCUAAAAAACUAAUAAAGAAAACGAACCCUUCAUGGAUUGACUCAAGCAGAGUUUGGGGACCAGGCCAGCCUGGGCAGCUACCUGACAGGACUGCAAGCUGCCUCCAGGCUGCCCAGAGGCCUGACCAGAAUAAAGACCAAGGGAACGCCUUGGCUUUCCAGAUUCUGCAAUGCUCCGUUGAGAAGUGUCCCCCAGGAUUUGGUGGCCAUUGCUGGGAUUUCAGUCCCAGACUUUCCUUCAGGAUAACCUAAGUUCAAACUUAAUUAAAAUGAUUCAUUUUUCUGGUAACACUGUCUAUACUUUAAGAGAUUGGCUAAAUGAGGCUCGAGACUUCUGGACAGGAGAUGGUUUUCCUACGACAGCAGUUCUGCUGGGCAGCACUGAUUUUUCUCCAUGAGAAAAUUCCACAAGGUCUCUUUAUGAAAAGCACUAAAGGAGGUAUCCAGAGACAGAAUUUGGAACUUUCUAGCCACUAUUUAUUUAUUUAUUUAUUUAUUUAUUUAUUUAUUUAAAAGACAGGGCCCUGGGCUGGAGAGAUGGCUCAGAAGUUAAGAGUGCUGACUGCUCUUCCUAAGGUCCUGAGUUCAAAUCCAAGCAACCACAUGGUGGCUCACAACCAUUCAUAAUGAGAUCUGACACCCUCUUCUGGUGUGUCUAAAGACAGCUACAGUGUACUUACAUAUAAUAAUAAAUAAAUCUUUGGACCAGAGCGAGCAGAGGUCCUGAGUUCAAUUCCAGCCACUUACAACCAUCUGUACACUGCAGUGUACUCAUAUGCAUAAAACUAAAUAAAUAAAUAAAUAAAUCUUUUGAAAAAAGGACAGGGCCUUAUGUAGCUCAGGUUGACCUCAAACUCACUAUGUAGAAGAUGAUGACUUCGAAUUCCUGAUCCUUCUGCCUCUACCUCCUGAAUGCUGAGAUUAAAGGUGUAUGUGACCACGCCCAUUUUGUGCAGAGCUGGUUUUCUUGAUGGCACUCUUAUACUGAGCCACAUUCCCAGUCCACCUAACUGUCCCUACAUUCUUCUCCUUUUUAAACAAACACUUACAUAGUACAAAGCAGUGUUCAGUAUGGGUCCAACACUACCCGAAUGUGACCGCUAAUCACUCUAUGAGCCCCUACAAUUCCCCUGGCUUCUCCAUAGACAGACACCUCCCAACUCAGAACUGUCAUCAUCAAGAAAUCUGACAACAAAUGCUGUCAGGGUUGUGGGGCAAAGAGAAACUCUAAUUUAAUGCUGGUGGCAAUACAAACUACUACAGCCAUUAUACAAAUUGAGCUGUAGAGUUUUCAAAAAGUUAAUAUAUAAUUGCGAUUCGAACCUGCUAUACCCCCUGGGCAUUUACUGAAAGGAUUCCAUAUCUACCCCACCUCCUCCAAGACAGGGUUUCUUUGUAUUGAGAAGACUAGGCAGAUUCCAUGACAGGCUUCAAAGGAGACCAAGCCUCCAGGAAAGUCUAGGCCUCAGAAGCUGCCCUGCCACCUGGCCUGGGGCAAGGAUAAUGGGUCAGCAGCAGUUUCCAGACUUCCUCAGCUACUUCCUCAGCAACAGUUUCCAGACCUCCCCAGCAGGAUUCCAGCCUGGUAAUGAAAUGUUCAUAGAGAUGGACCCAACAGAUCAACACCUGGGGUGGGUCACCUAUCCCGGAAUCCCCUAGUGUGCUUUUAAGUCAGGCCUGCCGGCUCACUUGGUUGUCUCUCCAUUCUGGUUCCGGGAGGCCCCAGCGUGCUAGACUUUGCAGAAUAAAACACUCUUUGCAUUUA